rnacentral:rRNA from 1 species
UCCGGUUGAUCCCGCCGGAGGUUACUGCUAUCGAGGUUCGACUAAGCCAUGCGAGUCGAAUGUAGCAAUACAUGGCGUACUGCUCAGUAACACGUGGACAACCUACCCUUGAGACGGGGAUAAACCCGGGAAACUGGGUAUAAUACCCGAUAGAUCUCGACUGCUGGAAUGCAUCGAGCUCCAAAGCUCCGGCGCUCAAGGAUGGGUCUGCGGCCUAUCAGGUAGUAGUGGGUGUAGCGUACCUACUAGCCUACGACGGGUACGGGUUGUGAGAGCAAGAGCCCGGAGAUGGAUUCUGAGACACGAAUCCAGGCCCUACGGGGUGCAGCAGGCGCGAAAACUUUACAAUGCUGGAAACAGCGAUAAGGGGACCUCGAGUGCCAGGUUACAAAUCUGGCUGUCGUGAUGCCUAAAAAGCAUUGCAUAGCAAGGGCCGGGCAAGACCGGUGCCAGCCGCCGCGGUAACACCGGCGGCUCGAGUGGUAACCGUUAUUAUUGGGUCUAAAGGGUCUGUAGCCGGCCGGAUAAGUCUCUUGGGAAAUCUGGCAGCUUAACUGUCAGGCUUUCAGGAGAUACUGUCUGGCUCGAGGCCGGGAGAGGUGAGAGGUACUUCAGGGGUAGGGGUGAAAUCUUGUAAUCCUUGAAGGACCACCAGUGGCGAAGGCGUCUCACCAGAACGGACCUGACGGCAAGGGACGAAAGCUAGGGGCACGAACCGGAUUAGAUACCCGGGUAGUCCUAGCCGUAAACGAUACUCGCUAGGUGUCGGCCACGGUGCGACCGUUGUCGGUGCCGUAGGGAAGCCGUGAAGCGAGCCACCUGGGAAGUACGGCCGCAAGGCUGAAACUUAAAGGAAUUGGCGGGGGAGCACCACAACGGGUGGAGCUUGCGGUUUAAUUGGAUUCAACGCCGGAA